GACAGAGGGUGCAAACGUUGUUCGGAAUUACUGGGCGUAAAGCGCGUGUAGGCGGCUAAGUAAGUCGGGCGUGAAAUCCCACGGCUCAACCGUGGAAGUGCACUCGAAACUGCAUAGCUAGAGUCCUGGAGAGGAAGGUGGAAUGCUUGGUGUAGAGGUGAAAUGCGUAGAUAUCUGGAGGAACACCGGUGGCGAAGGCGGCAUCCUGGACCGAUACUGACACUGAGGAGCGAAAGCCAGGGGAGCAAACGGG
rnacentral:rRNA from 1 species